UACGAAGGGGGCUAGCGUUGUUCGGAAUUACUGGGCGUAAAGCGCGCGCAGGCGGCUAUCCAAGUCAGUGGUGAAAGCCCGGAGCUCAACUCCGGAACUGCCAUUGAAACUGUUUAGCUUGAGUAUGAGAGAGGUGAGUGGAAUUCCCAGUGUAGAGGUGAAAUUCGUAGAUAUUCGGAAGAACACCAGUGGCGAAGGCGACUUACUGGACAGAUAUUGACGCUGAGGUGCGAAAGCGUGGGGAGCAAACAGG
rnacentral:rRNA from 1 species